rnacentral:rRNA from 1 species
GGGUAACCUGCCCAAGAGAUCGGGAUAACACCUGGAAACAGAUGCUAAUACCGGAUAACAAUAGAUGAUGCCUAUCAACUGUUUAAAAGAUGGUUCUGCUAUCACUCUUGGAUGGACCUGCGGUGCAUUAGCUAGUUGGUAGGGUAACGGCCUACCAAGGCGAUGAUGCAUAGCCGAGUUGAGAGACUGAUCGGCCACAUUGGGACUGAGACACGGCCCAAACUCCUACGGGAGGCAGCAGGA